UGUUUGAAACAAAGGAAACCAAAUUAACAAGCGAGGGAAUUCUAAAGGCGGCAAAAAUUUUCCCGCAUAUUCUCUCACCGCCAUUGUCGCACCAAAUAUAUCGGGAUGGAAUAAGUACUAUCCGAGGCGAUUUAUCAUCCAUAGUGUAGCCGGCGAGUUGGUAAUGCCUAUUAUCGGCUUGUUGUAGGUGGUUGAGUUCGGCGCUUUCAAGGUCUAGAAGUUGUUGCCUCCCUGCCUGAAGAUGCUGGAACCUGCUUAUGGAUUUCCAUCAAUGAAGCCAACUUCCUCACUCGAGUUGGGGCUCUUGAUCUCCUCUUUAUUGUUCUCCCUGUGGGUUCCAAAGCUAACAGAUCUUCAAAUACUUGCCUUCCAUUCUGAGUGCCAGCAGUUGCGG